GAGUUACCAGAAAGAGAAGGAUUGCUGCUGGGUCAGCUGGUGAUCUAUCUGAGGCCAUUUAAGGGCUGUUUGCUUUUAGAUGGAGGAUUACCUAUUAAAUCUGAAAGACAUUGCAAGCUGAAUAAACACCACCUCGUAAGAUUCAUCUGACAUUACAUUAUAUGAUGCUGAAGAAUCAUGUCAGAGAGGUCUUGUUUAUAUGUAUACAUUACUGUACAUAACAUACAGGCAAGGGUAAAAACAUCUAGUGGUGUAUAAUGUAGAUCACCACUGGAAAGCAGGCCUUUCUUCAAAUCAGCUGCUUUUAACUGAAAGCAGAUGCUACAGAACAGAAGAUGAAUAUAAGAAGCAGCUAUUUCAGUACAGUCAGGUUGUUGAGCAGGGUUCUUUCAUCAAGGACCGUGGGACUUGUUGGGGACUGUGACACAAAGUAUUCAUUUUAUCUUAAUGACUUUUGUAUUUUCAGAAAGUUUUAUAGUUAGGGAUAUGUU